rnacentral:lncRNA from 1 species
ACAAUUCCAUGCCAAUGCUAAUCUGACUGUAUAGCAUAACCCUCGAACCAUAAUUUAACCAUACCAACUAACAUUUCAGUACAAAUUUAUAACCCGCGACUAAAUUAGUAACUAUGGCAGUUGAAUCUGCAGCUUCAACACAAUUUCUAGCACCGAGAAGCACAAGAGCCCCAACCCGACAGCAUUAUAAAUAACAAUUCAGCAGAAUCCACACAUUGACACUGAGACAUAAACAUGUGAGGAGGCGCCUUUACCGUUAUCUGGAGCUUCCACCAACGGGCCCACAUACCAGGUCCCAUGAUGAAGUCUACCCACCGAAUUUUUAAGUGUUGAGCACUUACUUGCUAAACUCCCUGUCAGUACAUGAUAGCAUAUUAUCAUAGAAGGUGAGCAGCGUCUCGAGCAUUUAGCUCUUCAUGCUUUAAUCCUGCCUUCUUCGGAAAUUUAUCUCCCAUUUCACCUUCCACCUCUGUCCUAACGAACCCCACUUCAAGCUUAAUUCCAUGACAUCUCUCAGAAACAGCUGAUCAUUUGUCACAAUUGUCCAUGUGAAUAAAAUGUUUAACACUGGGUUCUAUACUGCACUCAUGAGCGAAAGAGAUGUACCUCUGAUGCUUGUUCUCCUCCCACGCCACCUGCAGUAUCACGCGACUCAUCUCCUGCUAAACGAGCUGCAGUGGCAACACAAAACUGCAUACUGUUACCAUCUAUGUAUACUGCCUUCUACAGAAUACUAGUAAUUAUCUCACUCACCAGAUCCUCCAUCAGUUGUAGAAUGCACCGAUGAUCUUUCCAACACAAGUCUUCCAGCUGAUCUCGCCUACCUGAGGAAGGUCCAACAAAUAUACUCCCUUCGUAAACUAAUAUAAGAGCGUUUAGAUCACUAUUUUAGUAAUCUAAGUGCUCUUAUAUUAGUUUACAGAGGGAGUAUUGUAUUAGACACAAGAUGGACUCCUCAUGUACCAUGUCAGAGACACACUAUGAAACCAAUCCAGCGCCGGCGUCCCCCUGGACAUCUC